AACGAACGCUGGCGGCAUGCCUAACACAUGCAAGUCGAACGAGACCUUCGGGUCUAGUGGCGCACGGGUGCGUAACGCGUGGGAACCUGCCCUUAGGUUCGGAAUAACUCCCCGAAAGGGGUGCUAAUACCAGAUAAUGUCUUCGGACCAAAGAUUUAUCGCCUUUGGAUGGGCCCGCGUUGGAUUAGCUAGUUGGUAGGGUAAAAGCCUACCAAGGCGACGAUCCAUAGCUGGGCUGAGAGGAUGAUCAGCCACACUGGGACUGAGACACGGCCCAGACUCCUACGGGAGGCAGCAGUGGGGAAUAUUGGACAAUGGGCGAAAGCCUGAUCCAGCAAUGCCGCGUGAGUGAUGAAGGCCUUAGGGUUGUAAAGCUCUUUUACCCGGGAUGAUAAUGACAGUACCGGGAGAAUAAGCUCCGGCUAACUCCGUG
rnacentral:rRNA from 1 species